CAGCUAUAUCACAUUGAAAGAUCAGUUUUCAUCUCAUCACCGAAGUUAAGCAACACUGAGUCUGAUCAGUACCUAGAUGGGUGACCACUCGGGGAUACCAGGAGCUGUAAG